GCGAAUCGCCCUUCGGGGUGCCCAGGCGCGAAAACUUUACAACGCUGGAAACAGCGAUAAGGGGACCUCGAGUGCCAGGUUACAAAUCUGGCUGUCGUGAUGCCUAAAAAGCAUUUCAUAGCAAGGGCCGGGCAAGACCGGUGCCAGCCGCCGCGGUAACACCGGCGGCUCGAGUGGUAACCGUUAUUAUUGGGUCUAAAGGGUCUGUAGCCGGCCGGAUAAGUCUCUUGAGAAAUCCAGCAGCUCAACUGUUGGGCUUUCAGGAGAUACUGUCUGGCUCGAGGCCGGGAGAGGUGAGAGGUACUUCAGGGGUAGGGGUGAAAUCUUGUAAUCCUUGAAGGACCACCAGUGGCGAAGGCGUCUCACCAGAACGGACCUGACGGCAAGGGACGAAAGCUAGGGGCACGAACCGGAUUAGAUACCCGGGUAGUCCUAGCCGUAAACGAUACUCGCUAGGUGUCGGCCACGGUGCGACCGUUGUCGGUGCCGUAGGGAAGCCGUGAAGCGAGCCACCUGGGAAGUACGGCCGCAAGGCUGAAACUUAAAGGAAUUGGCGGGGGAGCAC
rnacentral:rRNA from 1 species